UGCAGUCUUGUCAAAUUCAGUGUUUCCUCUUCAAUGGACAGCACUGGCCAAAAUGGCUGCAACAGUGAACAAGUAGACUUCAGGACCUACCUUCACAUAGAAUGAAUACCAGGGACAUACAAGUCUGCUUACAUGC
ensembl:snoRNA